UCUAUGAUUUUCUUUUCAUUCUAGUGGAAAGUCAUCUCUGAAUAAUAAGUCUUUUUUCUCUUGAGGGAAGGUGCUCAUGUCAUUUUCCUGGCUACUGAUUCACAAAUAACAAAUUAGCUGGCAAUGUGAAUGUAAUUUUGCCUUUACUUCCUUAUAGUUUUAUCUUUCAUGUAUAAAUGUCAUUCUUUUGAUGUAGAAGCUUGGUAUUCUUCAUCUACUGUAAGAGAGGUAACAGACAACUGAUUCAAAAGUUUAAUUUUUUAUAGGUAUCUUUUCAAUGAUGCUGAAGUAAAACCAUUUGAUUCUGCUCAGCUUGCUUCUGAAUGUUUUGGUGGAGAAAUGACUCUUAUUACAACAAUUCUAUGAACAAGCUAAAGAAUUCCACCUGGUAAAGUUGCUAUGCCAAAGUACAACACAAAAUUGAUUCCGUGCAGAAGAUCUGCAAAACAUCUGCAGACUCCAAAAACAGAGGAUAUGGUCUGGAGAAAUAUGAGAGGAGUCAGAGUCAAAGUACUGCAUAUGCAACCCUGGAAAAUGAAAGUAAGCUACUACAGAAAACUUAAAAUUAUUUAAUGAUGAGCAAGGAAUAUAAUUGAUGGCAGACCCUGCAUGGAGGGCAUAAAGUGGAGUUACUUCCUUGCAUACUGAGACCAGAACCAUCCGCAACGAGGCCAUAAU